rnacentral:rRNA from 1 species
GAUGAACGCUGGCGGCGUGCCUAAUACAUGCAAGUCGAGCGAACAGACGAGGAGCUUGCUCCUCUGACGUUAGCGGCGGACGGGUGAGUAACACGUGGAUAACCUACCUAUAAGACUGGGAUAACUUCGGGAAACCGGAGCUAAUACCGGAUAAUAUAUUGAACCGCAUGGUUCAAUAGUGAAAGACGGUUUUGCUGUCACUUAUAGAUGGAUCCGCGCCGCAUUAGCUAGUUGGUAAGGUAACGGCUUACCAAGGCAACGAUGCGUAGCCGACCUGAGAGGGUGAUCGGCCACAAUAGAACUGAGACAGGGUCCAGACUCCUACGAGAGGCAGCAGUAGGAAAUCUUCCGCAAUGGGCGAAAGCCUGACGGAGCAACGCCGCGUGAGUAAUGAAGGUCUUCGGAUCGUAAAACUCUGUUAUUAGGGAAGAACAAAUGUGUAAGUAACGAUGCACGUCUUGACGGUACCUAAUCAGAAAGCCACGGCUAACUACGU